rnacentral:rRNA from 1 species
UAGUUGGUGAGGAAAAGCCUCACCAAGGCGACGAUCUGUAGCGGGUCUGAGAGGAUGAUCCCCCACACUGGGAUUGAGACACGCCCCAGACUCCUACGGGAGGCAGCAGUGGGGAAUUUUGGACAAUGGGCGAAAGCCUGAUCCAGCCAUGCCGCGUGAGUGAAGAAGCCUUUCGGGUUGUAAAGCUCUUUUGUCCGAGAGGAAAUCCUGGCCUCUAAUACAGGUCGGGGAUGACAGUACUGGAAGAAUAAGCACCGGCUAACUACGUGCCAGCAGCCGCGGUAAUACGUAGGGUGCAAGCGUUAAUCGGAAUUACUGGGCGUAAAGCGUGCGCAGGCGGUUUUGUAAGCCAGAUGUGAAAUCCCCGAGCUUAACUUGGGAACUGCGUUUGGAACUACAAGACUAGAGUGUGUCAGAGGGGGGUAGAAUUCCGCGUGUAGCAGUGAAAUGCGUAGAGAUGUGGAGGAAUACCGAUGGCGAAGGCAGCCCCCUGGGAUAACACUGACGCUCAUGCACGAAAGCGUGGGGAGCAAACAGGAUUAGAUACCCUGGUAGUCCACGUACUAAACGAUGUCUACUAGUUGUCGGGAGAGGAAUCUCUUGGUAACGCAGCUAACGCGUGAA